rnacentral:lncRNA from 1 species
UAAUGAAAAAACAUUUAGCUCACAAUUGUAUCCUAACUGACAUACCAGGUAAUUUUUGUUACAGAGGAGGACCAGUGUAAUAUGGAGUCUUGGAGUCUUGCCCAAGGACUCUUAUUGGUGUAGUAGAAUUCAGUCACCCAGACCAGGAACUAAACCCUAGUCUCUCACAUCAUGUGGCUGCUCACUGGUAGGUAGUGGUGUUAUCCACUGCACCACACUAUUCACCAAGAACUGCUUUGUACCUUGUUUAAAUAAUUUUGAAUGAAUAGGCCAGUAGAAAUGCUCUAAAAUACUCUGAAUAAACAUCCUUUUUUUACAAUAACUUCCAAAAAUAGUUAAGCACAAUAUGCCAUUUUCUGUAAAGUCACCAAUUUUGGAGAUGUUUUUUGUUUUUUUUUAUUGGACAGCGACCAAUGAAAUGCACUGUGAGAUCUGAAGUCAAGUUUCUUGUGGAUUUGCAGCCAGAGAUUAUGCAGUAGAGACCAGAAGAGGAGGAGCCAGACCCACCUUCUUAUUUGGAAGACCUGCCCCUCUCUCCCAGACCAGGCGUCUCAGACUUCCUUUAUUGAGUUUUCAAGCACAGUAAAAAGCAGAGUGGGUUUCUUCACUAACAACUCAGUUUGUCAGGUCAAAGUUGUUGCAAUACAUGCAGCUCACAGCAAACAGCACAAAGGAACAUGGGGGAAAAAAACAUUUUCGUCAGCAUCUGCGGCAACAUCUCAGGCCUUCUCCGGUCAGCUAAUAAUGGUCACUCAAUCAGGUCACAAGACACAGACAUGUUCUUCACCACAGAUCUUC